rnacentral:rRNA from 1 species
AGCCUGAUGGAGCAACGCCGCGUGAGUGAAGAAGGAUUUCGGUUCGUAAAACUCUGUUGUAAGGGAAGAACAAGUACAGUAGUAACUGGCUGUACCUUGACGGUACCUUAUUAGAAAGCCACGGCUAACUACGUGCCAGCAGCCGCGGUAAUACGUAGGUGGCAAAGCGUUGUCCGGAAUUAUUGGGCGUAAAGCGCGCGCAGGUGGUUUCUUAAGUCUGAUGUGAAAGCCCACGGCUCAACCGUGGAGGGUCAUUGGAAACUGGGAGACUUGAGUGCAGAAGAGGAUAGUGGAAUUCCAAGUGUAGCGGUGAAAUGCGUAGAGAAUUUGGAGGAACACCAGUGGCGAAGGCGACUAUCUGGUCUGUAACUGACACUGAGGCGCGAAAGCGUGGGGAGCAAACAGGAUUAGAUACCCUGGUAGUCCACGCCGUAAACGAUGAGUGCUAAGUGUUGGGGG